AAAGUUUUUUAAAGGGUUUAAAAGUGUUUUGCAAGAUUUACAAGAGAUUUUAAAAGGGUUUUAAGAGAUUUACAAGAGAUUUUUAAAGGGUUUAAAUGGAGUUUAAAGGAUGUACAAGGGUUUUUAAAAGAUUUUUGAAAAAGUUACAAGAAGAUCCUUUAAAAAAUCAUGUAAAUCUUUUUAAAACCUUUUAAAAUCCCUUGUAAAUCUUUUAAAAUCCUUUUAAAAUCUCUUGUAAAUGUUUAAAAACCCUUUUAAAAUCUCUUGUAAAUCUAUUUCCCGCCAAAAAAAAAUUACA
rnacentral:sRNA from 1 species